CUGAUAGGGCUGUCGUGAGUGCUUGUAGGGACACAGGUAGCUAAAUACCCGCCACAUCCCCCGAGACUCUCAGUCCAACCUGAGGGACACGGCCACACACAUCUACACAGCACAAGCCGUUCACCAACUGACGUGCAGUACCAAUACAAAAUCUCCCAAAAUCACGAGAAUCUCUGCUCAGUCAGAAUGUUGUCACUGGCUCUACUGUGCUGCGUUUUGGCGAGUGUGUCGGCUCAGUGUCAGCCAGGCGGGAACUGUAAGCUCCCAGACUGCCGCUGUUGGUUCGAUGAAGACAUCCCAGGGGGCCUUGCGCCGGAUGAGACCCCUCAGGUUGUCCUGGUGACAUUCGAGGACGCCGUGAACGAGGUGAACGCCGACAUAUACAAGUCCCUAUUCACAGGUACCAAUCCUAACGGCUGCCCAGCCAGAGGAACAUUUUUUAUCAAGAACCUUGACACAAACUAUGACAUCGUGCGUGACUUGUUCGACGAUGGCCAUGAGAUUGGAGCCAACUCUCUUGAUGGUUCCUACCCUGCUAACGAGGAAGAUUGGAGGACUAUGCUGCAGACAAUCAAACGUGAACUCGCGGAUGUUGGCAUAACCGGAAAUGAAGUAAAGGGUGUCAGAGCACCAGAGUUGAGAGCCGGCGGCCUCGACGAGUUCAUCGGCAUGGGCGACAACAACUUUGACUACGACGCCUCCUGUAUCACGUCUGAGUUUGAUACACAGGCCAACCUGAAAUGGCCGUACACCUACGACUUUAUCCCCGGACCUUCCUGCAACGACGGCGAGCCACCAAACGCGCCCUUCCCUGGCAAGUGGCAGUUUCUGGUGGCAGCCCUCUCUAACAAUGGCACGACAUGUGCAACGCCAAGUGCCUGCACCAACUUGCUGACCCAGACAGAAGUCUUUGACCUAUUCUUCAACAGUUUCGCCUCGCACUACGAGGGCGACCGGUCUCCCUUCACCCUCAUCAUCAACCCCGACUUCGUCCUUGUGCCGUACAAGCUGGCAGGGCUCAAGGAGUUCCUGGAGUACGUCAGAGCUGCAUUCGAGGACACAUGGAUUCUACCAAUGAACAAGGCGCUGGACUGGAUCAAAGACCCCACACCCAGUCUGAACAUCUCAACCUUCCAGCCGUGGUCCUGCUAGCUGGAGGCGACUGAUGCCGCCUCUGCAUGUUGACCUCCAUCGGCCCGUAUCACACGCAUCUACCUACCUUCUAAAGUUAUGUUAUUUACUUGAUCUCAGGCUGAAUAACCUCCCAGGGUGGCCUCUGACACCCCACCCCUCAUGUAGUGUCGCCUAUAUCUGACACAUACCCCCACCCCCUCAUGUAGUGUCGCCUAUAUCUGACACCCCACCCCCUCACGUAGUGUCGCCCAUAUUUGACACACCCCGACUCAUGUCGCCUAUAUCUGACACCCCUUCAUUCAGCGUCCACAUCCCAGGUCACGUGUUAUACAUGCUAAUUUCAAAGUGUAUUAAAUAUAACCUGAUUCUG
rnacentral:misc_RNA from 1 species